CGCCUCUUGACUUAUAAUAAGAGGUCCAGCCUGCCCAGUGAAUUUUAAACGGCCGCGGUAUCCUAACCGCGCGAAGGUAGCAUAAUCACUUGUUCUUUAAAUGGGGACUCGUAUCAACGGCAUCACGAGGGUUUUACUGUCUCCUCUUUUUGAUCAGUGAAAUUGAUCUUCCCGUGAAGAAGCGGGAAUAUUUUUAUAAGACGAGAAGACCCCAUGGAGCUUUAAACCAAAUAACAACUUAACCUCUUAUCCCACAAUAAAUUUAAGCCCUGUUAUAAGGUUUUUGGUUGGGGUGACCGCGGAGUAAAGCACAUCCUCCACGACGGAAAGAACAUAAUCUUUAUUUAAGAACCACACUUCUAGAAAUUAGUAUACUAACGUUUACUGACCCGACAAUCGAUCAACGGACCAAGUUACCCUGGGGAUAACAGCGCAAUCUACUUCAAGAGCUCAUAUCGACAAGUAGGCUUACGACCUCGAUGUUGGAUCAGGGUAUCCCGGUGGUGCAGCCGCUACCGAAGGUUCGUUUGUUCAACGAUUAAACCCU
rnacentral:rRNA from 2 species